AUACGUAGGGGGCGAGAGUUGUCCGGAAUCAUUGGGCGUAAAGGGCGCGUAGGCGGCUCGGUAAGUCUGGAGUGAAAGUCCUGUUUUUAAGAUGGGAAUUGCUUUGGAUACUGUCGGGCUUGAGAGCAGGAGAGGUAAGUGGAAUUUCCUGUGUAGCGGUGAAAUGCGUAGAGAUUGGGAGGAACACCAGUGGCGAAGGCGACUUACUGGACUGUAACUGACGCUGAGGCGCGAAAGUGUGGGGAGCAAACAGGAUUAGAUACCCUGGUAGUCCACACUGUAAACGAUGAAUGCUAGGUGUAGGGGGUAUCGACCCCUUCUGUGCCGCAGUCAACACAAUAAGCAUUCCGCCUGGGGAGUACGGCCGCAAGGUUGAAACUCAAAUGAAUUGACGGGG
rnacentral:rRNA from 1 species